CCCUUAGAUGUCCUGGGCCGCACGCGCGCUACACUGAUGCAUGCAACGAGUUUAUAACCUUGGCCUGAAAGGUCUGGGUAAUCUUUUGAACGUGCAUCGUGAUAGGGAUAGAUUAUUGCAAUUGUUAAUCUUGAACGAGGAAUUCCUAGUAAACGCGAGUCAUCAGCUCGCAUUGAUUACGUCCCUGCCCUUUGUACACACCGCCCGUCGCACCUACCGAUUGAAUGGUUCGGUGAAGAUCUCGGACUUCGAUAUUUAUUCUUUAUUGAGUUUAUAUUGUGGGAAGUUAUCUAAACCUCAUCACUUAGAGGAAGGUGAAGUCGUAACA
rnacentral:rRNA from 1 species